GUUAUUUCUGGGUUUGUGUACUUAUUCUUGUCAUGUUGUUUUUGCAGCAUCCAGAAAGUGUCAGAUUUUGAUUCAGUUAAGGCAAGGCUUAUUAGCACGACUUACCACGAAAAGAAAAAGAGAUGAGAUUAUUAGUAAAUCAGAGGAUCAAUAGAGAUAUGGUUACAGGCCAAGAUGGACUUCAGCUUAUGUCUCCACUCUCCACUGUGAAAUCCUCAGUUCUUGUGAACAGAACCUUGCAUCUUCAGCAUUAUAGGGUUUGUAUAAAGGGGAUUGUAGGAGCAACAGGAGGCAUCUAGUUCAGUAUCCAGGUGGGAAAGGGAAUGGAGAUUCACACUUCUCUAUGAGCCUAUCAUCAUCUUCUGGGGAUGUACAUCUGAGCUAAGCUACCUAAGUCGUCUGCUUCUUUGCUUUGAAUUCCCAAAUUAAAAAAGAAAAUAGGUUCUAGUGACUUCGCUUUGGUGGGAGAAUACUGGGAGGUGUUCAAGGCUAUAAGAUUUCAACAGUGAAGACCCAGAUCUAAUUAUUGGUAUGCUUGUUCAGCAUUGAGUGCUUUCAAAAUAAUUCAGGAAUGUAUUGUCCACUUUAUAUUGUUGUAUUUUCAUGGAAUUGUUUCUUAACCUACAAUAUCAGAGUCCUUUCAGUUGCAUUAUCUCAGUUUUUGUCACCCAAAAUCUGAUGUUGUAGAACCCUCAAUUUUCAGUAUAAAUUAAGUUUAUUUGUGUUUGAUUUAUGCAAAUCCAACUUCUGAUGGAGGGUAUAACCAAGCGGGUCAAGAUAUUGGCUGUAAUAGUCUUUGUGUGAGUUUCUUUUGUCAGAUCUUCCACUCCGCCAAAAAAAUAAUAACUAUUUGGACUGUAAUCAAUGAGCAAUUUGGUGAAAGUUUUCAAUGUGUUUAAUUAUGUGUGCUUGUUCAGAUUGCAUUGAUUACAAUGGCAUUUUGUCAAGUAAGUCAC